rnacentral:rRNA from 1 species
GUCCUACGGGAGGCAGCAGUGAGGGAUAUUGGUCAAUGGGGGAAACCCUGAUGCAGCGACGCCGCGUGAGUGAGGAAGUAUUUCGGUAUGUAAAGCUCUAUCAGCAGGGAAGAAAAUGACGGUACCUGACUAAGAAGCCCCGGCUAACUACGUGCCAGCAGCCGCGGUAAUACGUAGGGGGCAAGCGUUAUCCGGAUUUACUGGGUGUAAAGGGAGCGUAGACGGUUAUGCAAGUCUGAAGUGAAAGCCCAAGGCUCAACCAUGGGACUGCUUUGGAAACUGUAAAACUGGAGUGCAGGAGAGGG